CUACGGGAGGCUCCAGUGGGGAAUAUUGGACAAUGGGGGGAACCCUGAUGCAGCAACGCCGCGUGGAGGAUGACGCAUUUCGGUGUGUAAACUCCUUUUAUAUGUCAAGAAAAUGACGGUAGCAUAUGAAUAAGCACCGGCUAACUCCGUGCCAGCAGCCGCGGUAAUACGGAGGGUGCAAGCGUUACUCGGAAUCACUGGGCGUAAAGGACGCGUAGGCGGGCUUGUAAGUCAGGUGUGAAAUCCUACAGCUUAACUGUAGAACUGCACUUGAAACUUCUAAUCUAGAGUAUGGGAGGGGGAGAUGGAAUUAGUGGUGUAGGGGUAAAAUCCGUAGAUAUCACUAGGAAUACCUAAAGCGAAGGCGAUCUCCUGGAACAUUACUGACGCUAAGGCGUGAAAGCGUGGGGAGCAAACAGGAUUAGAUACCCCCGUAGUC
rnacentral:rRNA from 1 species